UACGGAGGGUGCAAGCGUUAAUCGGAAUUACUGGGCGUAAAGCGCACGUAGGCGGUUUUUUAAGUCAGAUGUGAAAGCCCCGGGCUCAACCUGGGAAUUGCAUUUGAAACUGGCCAACUAGAGUACGUGAGAGGGGGGUAGAAUUCCAAGUGUAGCGGUGAAAUGCGUAGAGAUUUGGAGGAAUACCAGUGGCGAAGGCGGCCCCCUGGCACGAUACUGACGCUCAGGUGCGAAAGCGUGGGGAGCAAACAGG
rnacentral:rRNA from 1 species